UACGUAGGGUGCAAGCGUUGUCCGGAAUUAUUGGGCGUAAAGAGCUCGUAGGCGGUUUGUCGCGUCUGCUGUGAAAACUCGGGGCUCAACCCCGGGCCUGCAGUGGGUACGGGCAGACUAGAGUGCGGUAGGGGAGACUGGAAUUCCUGGUGCAGCGGUGAAAUGCGCAGAUAUCAGGAGGAACACCGGUGGCGAAGGCGGGUCUCUGGGCCGUAACUGACGCUGAGGAGCGAAAGCGUGGGGAGCGAACAGG
rnacentral:rRNA from 1 species